UACAGAGGGUGCGAGCGUUAAUCGGAGUGACUGGGCGUAAAGGGCGCGUAGGUGGCCUGAUAAGUCUGAUGUGAAAGCCCCGGGCUUAACCUGGGAAAGUCAUUGGAAACUGUCAAGCUAGAGUCUAGGAGAGGGAAGUGGAAUUUCCGGUGUAGCGGUGAAAUGCGUAGAGAUCGGAAGGAACACCAGUGGCGAAGGCGACUUUCUGGCCAAAGACUGACACUGAGGCGCGAAAGCGUGGGUAGCGAACAGG
rnacentral:rRNA from 1 species